AUUGAACGCUGGCGGCAGGCCUAACACAUGCAAGUCGAGCGGAUGAAGGGAGCUUGCUCCUGGAUUCAGCGGCGGACGGGUGAGUAAUGCCUAGGAAUCUGCCUGGUAGUGGGGGAUAACGUCCGGAAACGGGCGCUAAUACCGCAUACGUCCUGAGGGAGAAAGUGGGGGAUCUUCGGACCUCACGCUAUCACAUGAGCCUAGGUCGGAUUAGCUAGUUGGUGGGGUAAAGGCCUACCAAGGCGACGAUCCGUAACUGGUCUGAGAGGAUGAUCAGUCACAGUGGAACGGGGACACGGUCCGGACUCCUAGGGGAGGCAGCGGUGGGGAAUAUUGGACAAUGGGCGAAAGCCUGAUCCAGCCAUGCGGCGUGUGUGAAGAAGGUCUUCGGAUUGUAAAGCACUUUAAGGUGGGAGGAAGGGAAGUAAGUUAAUACCUUGCUGUUUUGACGUUACCAACAGAAUAAGCACCGGCUAACUUCGU
rnacentral:rRNA from 1 species